rnacentral:snoRNA from 1 species
GUUGCUUCUUGAGUUUUGUGGAUUCGGCCUUGCUAUUGAUGGGGCUUAUCUGUGGUGAGAAGCAUAGAUUAAGUAGAAUGCCAGUAUUAAACAACAUGAUGUUUUGUUCUUGCAUCCUGUUACCUGUCUCCUGGCAAAUUC